AUACUUUUUCGUUCCCUUCGCUGGUGAGGCUAUCCCAUAACUCCUUGCGAUGCAGCGAAAAUUCCUAAAGCUAAUGGCGGACUUUAUUCCAGAGGAAUAACUUUGUAAAAUGGACAGAUGGCAACUGAUGUGUUAAUUUCACUCCAUGGCAUUGGCUUGGCAGGACAAAACAGUCGUGCCCGACUUGUUUGGAGGUGGAAGCACAUCCCACCCCAUCACCAAAAACAUGGGAACCUCCUGUCCACUAGGAAAAUCACCCUAUCCCAGGAGUUUAGUCAGUUUAUUCAGCAGUGUGCAACAUCACUAUGUUAGAAGUAGAUCCACAUAUGUUAUUCUCUAUCAUGCCGAAUUGACAGCUCAUUGUAACAUAUGAAACUCAUUCUAAAAUAAAUAUAUUUUGGACUACCAAGAAA